UGCCACUGACUCCUUGUAUGACCUUGGCUAAGUCACUUGCUUCUCUGUGCCCCAGUUUCCUCCCCAGUAAAAUCAGGCCUGUCAGCUCUCAGAGUCACCUACCAUUCUGCUCUGCAUAUUUUGAGGUCAAAAUAUGGACUGGACUAAUGAUAAAUGGUGACAAAAAUCCCACAAAUGGGAGAUUCUAAAAGUUUUUAAUAAAAAUCUCAAUGAUAAGAAAAAAUUCCAGAGAAAGGAGGAAACUGAGAAUGUUUUAGAGAAGAAAAUGAGGGGAGGUGAGUGUGGGUGGAGAGUGUGGUCUCCUCACCUUGUAGAAUUGUCACAGGCCAGAUGAAGUAGCUACGAUCUGUGUGGGGCACAUUCUCCCUGGAGGCUGGGGUAAGGUAGGUUACCGGCAGGCAGGUGCCAGUCCUACAUGGGGAAGAGCUUAGCAAUCAGGACUACUCCACGGCAGAGCUAAAGCCCUUCAGCUAGUGAGGUACCCGUCAACAGAGGUGUGCAAUCUGGGAGUGAUGCCACCUGAGAUGCUGCAAGGAGAUUGAACAAGAUAUCUCCAUAUGCCUUUUAUCAGGACCAAGAAUCGUCUCAGUCACUGAGGGUGUUUUAAGUGUGCAGGGUAGAAUGAAACCACCUGGAACUGCUUGGCAACUGACUGCCAGGCGAAAGGCCACCUGCUGUGCCAGCCCAGGAGGAAUGUCCAUGAGGGAGCCAUGGCAGACCACAACCUUGGCAAGACCAGAUUGUUCCAUCACAACUGACAGGCGUUGCUAGGAUGGAGGAACUUUGGUGGCUGUUCACAAGAAACUAGGCCAUUGGGAUUUAUGGGAAUAAAGAGGGGCAGUCCUGGGUCUGUGUCAUCCCACAGGCAAACUAGGAGCACACCCAAUAUUCCAUCCCAGAAUGAAGCCUGGGUCCUUGAGAGGGCAGCUGUCCACUCUUUGUCUCUGGACGGGACUGGCCUGCUCCUGUGUGCUACGGGCGUCCCCAUCUCCAGGCCUUCUCCUAGGCUGGUCCCCCUCCCAGCAGAGCUUCCAGGCCCAUCCUGAUCCUCAGGUGAGGUGGGCCGUCACGGUGGGACACUCUCUACUCUAUUGGAAAAGGAGACAAAUCACGUCAAUUUAAGUCAACUCAUCUCAACCGCACACCUAACAUGUGCUCUGGCCCUUGCUAAGUGCUCAGAAGUGACUGCUUAUGGCCACCUUUAGCCCUAUUCUCCACCUGAAGCUUGCAUGUAUAGUGUGUCCAGAGAAAAUCCAGUCCUUGUUAGUGGUGUAAGAGUCCCAGGUGGGAAAACCCAGAGCCACUCUUAUCCUCAUUCUCCCUCCAGCAUCCAGUCAGUCACGAAGUACCAUCCACGCUGCCUCUGAAGAAGGUCUCAGAUCCACGGCUGCAUCUCCACUCCCUCUCCUGAGUACAAGUUGUCAGUAUCUCUCUUACAGAGUCUGCCAGAGCCUCUUGACUGGUCUCCACACACGCAUCACAGCCAGGGAGACCCUUCCAACAUGGAGAUUUAAUCAUGGGUUCAUUAUAAACAUCUCCUACUUCAAAUCCUCUGAUACUUCCCCACUGACCUCAGGAUAAAAUCCAAACUCAUAAGCUUGGCAUGUGGGGCCCUGUCUCAAGUCCCAGACUACCCACUUAACUAAGCCAUUCUUAUCCUUCCAGACUCAACUCCAACCACUCCUCUUCCAGGUAGCCUUCUCAGAUCACUCAAUAUUCGGAGAUUUCUUCCUCCAUCCUUCUUAUCUGUCCUAUCAGUUCUGUUCCAAAUGGUGGAUGGUGGUGCUUUCUCUGAGAUGGAGAACACUGAGGAGGAACCACUGCAGGGUGAUGAAGAGUCCUGGUUGGGACCUGCUGGGUCUCAGAGGCUUGAGACAUCAAGGAGAGGGUGUCUAGCAGGCAUUUGAAUACAUGGGUCUCCACUCAAGGGGGAGGGGCAGGCUAGACAGUCAGGCUCGGAAGCACAGAGCAGUGGCCUGGGGCAGUUUCCUGGGACAGGGGAGCAAAGGAAGCGGAGAGGCCCUGACUACCCACAAGGGGAGCACAUCCCCCUUGUAACUCCACCCAGCACUCUGGAGCAGAGACCCUUGCCCAGAGGCACUCCUUGUCCAGGGUGGGAGCCUUAAUUCUGUCCCAAGGGCUCUCCCGGUUCCUGGAGGCUCAGGCAUCUGUGUGGGUCUCCAGGCUUCCCAGGCCCCACUACCACCUCUUCAGCAAAUCAGCACUUCCAAGCAUGGAGACAAGUUCAUCAUUUGGGAUUCUUUAUACCAAGUGGAGAGGCUGGGAGAGUCUAAAGUUUCUAGAGCUCUCUGCUCCAGACCUCUUAGGCAGUUGGAUGCUCGGAUCUGCAGAUCCUGUUAUUCUAAGACCCAGUGACUAGGGCCCACACUAACCCCUUCCACCUCAGGACGCUGGUGGUGGAACAGACAGAGUCCCCAGUUUUGGCCUUGCCUGUGCUAGCCAUGCCAUGCGUUAAUGUGGCCCAGCGUGUGAGCUCAUCUCAGCAGGUUCCCUGAGCGGGGCAGAUGCCGCAUUCACCGACUCACCACCAAAGGUGCCUUGACUCCUCCAGGGAGUGUGGGUGCUUAGAGGGCCAGAUCUCAAGUGAGGACUGCAUGAGCUUCAGCCCUUUCCAAGUCUCGGAGUCCGGAAGGCACCAGGAACCGAAAGGGUCUUUGCAAAUCAUUGUUUUGCAGCAGUUUCUUCUCCAGGGCAGCCAAAGACUGGCUGGGGGAAGAGCCUAGAAUUUGACCUGAGGCUGUUUCCCAGGAGGAGGUGGCCGGAGCUUCCAAGGGAGAGGGCAGUGGGGGUGGGCCCCCUGGGCCCCUGCUGUCCUCUGACUCUCCAUCUGGUGCUCGGGCCAUAUUAAUGAUUUAAGGAACAAUUAUUGUAAGGCUGAGUUUCUUUUUGCAAACGCCAGUGUUCCAUCCUGCAAUGAAUUCCAGAUGGUGGGAGCUCUCAGUGAGGGAGCUGGCUCCUCCGAGGAUGGCCUUCCCCUCCAGAGUGACAGCCGGCCGAGGACGAGCCAGCAUUUCCUCAGCACUCCAGUCUUUACAAGUUACCCGACCCCUUUCCAGUUUGUUUAAAACCUUUUUCUUUUUCCGUGCAGAUGUUCCUCCGGGUGAGCAAUCUUUAUAGUUUUGAAAAGAUUAUAUCAGUUUUCCAUGAUAUUGUGUUACUGUAUUUCUUGGGCUCCCCCUUUUUUUAAUAGCACUAGAAAGGCC
ensembl:lncRNA